rfam:Thalassiosira oceanica strain CCMP1005 To_g15805, whole genome shotgun sequence.
GCUAUCGUGGCCGAGAGGUCUAAGGCGUUGGACUUAAGAUCCAUUGUUCAUCUGAGCGCGCAGGUUCGAACCCUGCCGGUAGCA